UUAUUUAAUUCACAUAUAUGAGUUUCAAUUUAAUUUUUUAAUAUCAUAAUAUUUUUAUUUAAUUAAAUAAUAUUUUAUAAUUUUUUUUGAUUCACAUGAUAUUUACAGAUGAUAAAUUCAUGCUCACAUGAAUAACUUAAAUUGCUAUCCUAGAUAUAUAUAUAUAUAUAUAUAUUAGAUUUCCUUCGAAAUUAACAUAGUAGGACUGAAUUUUAUAUAGCA
rnacentral:lncRNA from 1 species